CCUACGGGUGGCAGCAGUGGGGAAUAUUGCACAAUGGGGGAAACUCUGAUGCAGCGACGCCGCGUGAGUGAAGAAGUUCUUCGUUAUGUAAAGCUCUAUCAGUAGGGAAGAAAAUGACGGUAACUGAGUACGACUGCGCGGCUAAUUACGUGCACGCAGCCGCGGCAAUAAGGAGGUGGCAAGCGUUAUCCGGAUUUACGGGGUGUAAAGGGGGCGUAUUCGGCUGUUCAAGUCUGGAGUGAAGGGCGGGUGCUCAACCCCCGGACUGCUAUGGAAACUGUAAGGCUGGAGUGCAGGAGAAGUAAGUGGAAUUCCGAGUGUAGCGGUGAAAUGCGUAGAUAUUAGGAGGAACACCAGUGGCGAAGGCGGCUUACUGGACUGUAACUGACUUUGAGGCUCGAAAGCGUGGGGAGCAAACAGGAUUAGAUACCCCUGUAGUC
rnacentral:rRNA from 1 species